CAAGUGUUCAAACAAAUUUACAAUGAGCGAACAAAAUUACAAGUUUUAAAACAAAUUUACGUUUAUUACGGAAAGGGUAGGUACAAUACGCUGACGUCACGCAUCUGAGCCUCCGGUGGGAGGAAACCCGGAAGUAUCGCCGUGAAUCACAUGAGAGUUGUGAAUGCGAUGUUGUGUAUUAGGCUGUACAUAAUAUUAACGGAAAGAGAGUGAUAAUAUAUAACCUUUCAUCGCUUCCGAAGUGACUAAAAGGGAUAUUGGACCUUAUUUUCAGAUUACAGACAACACGAGAGGGUGCUUCAAACUUUUUAAUCAGGACUGCAUUGUUUGUUCGCUCCCGGGGUUACAUAGACUGAAACGAGGAAGUGUGACGAGUUUGUUUACAUGGUGCUGUAAACUUCAACCCAGGAGGACACUUCAAAGGAAUCAAGGUGUCUGUGAUAUUGAAACACUAAAGGAAGAAGAGGAGGACCACCAUUCGUUUCCUGAGCAGAAAAAAAAUUAAGCAUAUCUAACAGUGGUUCUGGGGCAUUGCAAGACUAUGGUUACCUGGAAACAUCUCCUAUUAUGGAAGAUUAUCGCAACAUUUGUGUCUUGGAUCAUUUUUUCUUGUUUCUCUGCCACAGAUUUAGCUCCUAUAGCAAACGGCCAGUUUGGACUACAGCCCUCUACUUCUCGAUUGAAUGACAUCCAAAGAAGAGUUUUUUACUAACCUCUGCCCACUGGAAUAUGUCAGUCGCCAGCUAAGCUCAAGUGGCUCUACUAAGCUGCUGUUGAAUCACAGCACACUAAACAAACUACAUAAUCAGAACUCGAUAGGUAUUUCUGAAGGAGGGACUUUAUAGAACAAGGAAGACAUCAGCUCGUUUUUAGUAAAGUAAAAACAGCGCUAGAGAGUAUGUGAAAAAUAUUGUCUUUUUUUACACACAAAACAUGAACACACGCUAUAUUGCACACCAUAAACACAAUCAUAGUUUGUGUUAAAUACUCUCAUUCUCACGGCACCCAUUCACUGCAGAGGAUCCCAUUGUAAGCAAUGUAAUGCUUAAUUUCUCCAAAUCUGUUCCAGUGAAAAAACAAACCAUCUAUAUCUUGGGUGAAAAAUUACUUUAAUCCCAAAAACAAACGUUUUUCAUUUAAAUGUUUUUACUUUGCUUUAUUGUUACAAUUUGUACAGUAGAUAGAAAAUAUACAUUGGAACAAAUGUAUAUACAGUGGUGUGAAAAGGU